rnacentral:lncRNA from 11 species
UUGCUGUUUAUACUGAAGAACUGCUUUCUGUUCAGUGGAAGACAUUCUAGGUUGGCAGUGAUGGGUGAUGGACAUGCCAGACAGCAAUUACUGUCCUAUUCUAGGGAGCACAAUGGCACUUACUCUUCACGCCAAGCCUGAUGGAUCAAUACUAAAUCUUGGUUUUCAAACUUUCACUAUUUCGAAGCAUCAGAGAUUGGGAGCGGACCAGCGGCAGCCUCAUCUGCACAAAGACUUUAUCG